rnacentral:lncRNA from 1 species
UUGUCUUCUAUUCGCAGAUCAAACAAUGGUUCAUCAUCAUAUGAAGGCGAAAGCCCUGGUUGGUCAUCAGCUUGCAGCGAAAGCGCUGGUUGAUCAUCAUGUGGUGGAGAGGGUGGAUGUUGCUUAAACGAAGAAGGACUAGGUGGAGGACCUGGAAUCCUAAGUAUAGGUUUCGGAAACCCUGGUUGGUCAUCAUGUGGUGGAGAGGGUGGAUGUUGCUUAAGCGAAGAAGGACUAGGAGGAGGACCUAGAAUCCUAAGUAUAGGUUUCGGAAACCAAAACCUAGAAGGACUAGCAGGACGUGGAAUCCUAAGUAUAGGUUUCGGAAACUGAAACCUAGAAAGACUGGGAGGAGGACGUGGAAUCCUAAGUGUAGGUUUCGAAAACCCUGGUUGGUCAUCAUGUGGUGGAGAGGGUGGAUGCUGCUUAAGCGAAGAAGGACUAGGAGGAGGACCUGGAAUCCUAAGUAUAGAUUUCGGAAACCAAAACCUAGAAGGACUAGGAGAAGGACGUGGAAUCCUAAGUAUUGGUUUCGGAAACUGAAACCUAGAAGGACUGGGGGGAGGACGUGGAAUCCUAAGUAUAGGUUUCGGAAACCCUGGUUGGUCAUCAUGUGGUGGAGAGGGUGGACGAUGCUUAAGCGAAGAAGGACUAGGAGGAGGACCUGGAAUCCUAAGUAUAGGUUUCGGAAACUGAAACCUCAAAGGACUGGGAGGAGGACGCGGAAUCCUAAGUAUAGGUUUCGGAAACUGAAACCUAAAAUGAUGAGGAAGAGUUGGAUCAGAUGAAUUUUCAUCGACUUGAUCUCCAUGAAUGAGCUCAAAGGAUGAGGCAACUGCUAAAACUGAAACUAGUAAGAGGAUUUUCGCUGAUAUAACUGCCAUA